rnacentral:rRNA from 1 species
AAUCAACGCUGGCGGCGUGCCUCAGACAUGCAAGUCGAACGCGAAAGUCCCCUUCGGGGGACGAAGUAGAGUGGCGCACGGGUGAGUAACACGUAGGUAAUCUACCUUUGGAUGGGGAAUAACAACCGGAAACGGUUGCUAAUACCGCAUAAUGCAGCGGCACCUAAUGGUGACAGUUGUUAAAGCGGGGGAUCGAAAGACCUCGCGUCUGAAGAGGAGCCUGCGGCGGAUUAGCUAGNGGUUAGGGUAAUGGCCUACCAAGGCGACGAUCCGUAGCCGGCCUGAGAGGGCGGGUCGGCCACACUGACACUGACAUACGGGUCAGACUCCUACGGGAGGCAGCAGUGGGGAAUCUUGCGCAAUGGGCGAAAGCCUGACGCAGCGACGCCGCGUGAGGGAUGAC